rnacentral:sRNA from 1 species
UUAAGAGGAACUCAGCCUAAGUCCACUGUACACUAAGGUAACGACUGAGUGACCAACAUCAUGUUGC